GCCUUCGUGGCCUAAUGGAUAAGGCAUCGGCCUCCUAAGCCGGGGAUUGCGGGUUCGAAUCCCGUCGAAGGUG
rnacentral:tRNA from 1 species